UUACGUAUCCAACGUAUCAAACCAAAUUGUGGACAUGUGUCCCGUCUGGUGAGGGUUUCUGCGAGUAUUUCUUGGCAUGGUUCGCAACUUCAGCUUUCGAGUUGAUUUUGUGAAGUUAGAAAUCUCGGUCCUGGUGAGCACAACUUCGGUUGUUGUUCGCCAGCUCAUCGGAUGUGGUUAUUUUUCUAUGCCAACCAAUCUUAUUAACCCCUUGUAAACAAAAUUGAGCUAAACAUACACUGGCUUCUUGUCAGUGGAUAAACCGAAACUUAAGAA
rnacentral:misc_RNA from 1 species